rnacentral:rRNA from 1 species
AUACGGAGGAUGCAAGCGUUAUCCGGAUUUAUUGGGUUUAAAGGGUGCGUAGGCGGUUUGCUAAGCGGGAGGUGAAAUGCCGGCGCUCAACGUCGGAAGUGCCUCCCGAACUGGUGGACUUGAAUGACUCUGCCGUGGGAGGAAUGUGUAGUGUAGCGGUGAAAUGCUUAGAGAUCACACAGAACACCGAUUUCGAAGGCAUCUCACGAAGGGGUGAUUGACGCUGAGGCACCAAAGAGUGGGGAGCAAACAAGAUUAAAUUCCCUGGUAGUCCAUGAAGUAAACGAUGAUAACUAACACUUGUGUCGUAGUGAUUCAGUGGCCAAGCAAAAGCGAUAAGUGAUAAUCCUGGGGUGUUCGGCCUCAAGGCGGAAACUCACAGGAAUUGACGGGG